CCCCCCAGCAAUGGACAGAGACACCUUAUUGGUGGUGGUGUUCUAAUAUCAGUCAGGGGCAGAACAGAUGGCGGUCCUUUGGUCAUCCUAGCUUAAAUCUUGGCUAGGUGACUGAAGUUGUUUUAUGCCUAGGACGCAUAC